UCUGCGGUUGUAGUCCAGUUGUUUUCCUGCUCAGACGCGGCUAGUUCAAGUUGCCAUAGUACGGCGAUGCAUAAUCUCAGUUGUUUUCUUUCAACCAAAAAAUCGCGUAAGCGAUACAGUAUUGAAAUAUAUUUUAUAUAUCAUCGGUGAGCAACGGUUUUGCGGUCGUCAUGGCAUUACAUCUUUAUUAGCUUGGCAAGCUUUUGGGGCGCUAGCUAGCACUUAGUGUUUAUCACUUGUUGCUAAUCAAGCGGAGCGUCAACAAUGCCAGAGACGAGAGUUCAACGGGAGUACAGAUGAAUGUUUUUUUUAAUAAAUAUUUUACUGCUCUUCGAGAACUUUGAAGUUGUUUAGUAGCAAAACCAAAGCCUUCCAAUGUCGCGGUGGUGCUUUUCAAUUCUUUUGUUAUUGAGCGUUUUUUUUAUAAAUUCUGGUUACUAAUCUGAUUUCUUCAGUCGUUUGUCAAAUCGUAAUUACGAAAUAUGGACACAUCCAGUGGGUCAGAUUCGCACGGCAGGUUUUGUGAAGCCCACCGAAGACCUGCACGGGAAAGAGGCCGAGCCAGUGGGCGAGCAGGUGACGGCCGAACAGCUGACAUCUCAGAGAAGAUCAGCACAUUGUGCAGCACUUUGCAGGACACAAAUCGGAACUUGAGUAAGGUGGACCAGAUGCUGGGCCAAUACAGAGAACAGACCAUGGACCAGGCUGAGGCCAUGGCUUUGCUUCGGGAUAACCUGGAAGAGUCCAUCAGUCAGCUACAGGAGCAGAGGCUGAGCAGGACCAACGCUCACAGCAGUGCUUCUGCCUCCAGCCUGCAUUCCAGUGACCUGGAAUGUUGCCCUGGCUCAGAUGGCCAACAUUUCUUACCAACUUCUCCACUGAAAGACUACACAGGAAGACCAGGGAGGAGGAGGAGGUCUCGCUCUGCAAGUGUUCGCUUCAAGAAUGGCAGCUUGUUGGGAGAGGAUAUUCACACUUUGCACCAGUCCUUGAGGGAUCUGCGUUGUGACCAACAGAGACUGGCAGUGGACUUGGAUCGAGAGAUUAUCAGGAGAAAUAGGGCUGAUGUUGACACGAGGCUUGCAAUAGAGAGCCUUUCUGAUCACGUGACCCCUUCACAGCGACAGGACUCUAGACACAAGGUCAAUUUCAGUGAGAGAGAAGACACCAUGACAUCCAGACUACUGAACGCAGAAAAGGAAAAGUCCAAGAUGGAGCAGGAGCUGGAAAAAGUUCAAAAUCUACUAGAUCGGUCAGAGGACAGCAGAGUGUCGCUGGUUCAACAGGUGGAGAAUAUGCGGGGUGAGCUGCAGAGGACCAGGAAAGAGAAAACAGAGCUUCAGAGGGUCCGGUUACAGCAUGGUCGUGGCAACUAUACAGGCAGGGAAGAGGGAAGAUCACAAGAUGGUUCAGACAUGGAAAACGAGGUCGCAGAACUCCGAGCACAACUGCGCAAGGCGUUGGCCAACAGUGAGGUUGAGGAACUGAAGAAGGCUUUGGACCGCAAGGAGAAAGAACGGAUACAGCUGAGUAUCCAGCUGGAGGGAUUGUCUGCAGACUUGGCACGGCGGGAGCAACAGCAAAUGCUAAUGCUUGAACAACUUAGAGACAUCCAGACUCGAGGGCAGACUGAGAGGACUGAGACAGAGACUUUACUCCAGGAGAGCACAAGAAGCAGAGAUGAACUGAAGGCCAAGGCCCAAAAGGCUGUGCGCCAAUGGAGGGCAAAGUGCAAUCGACUGCAGAAGGAGCUGGAGGAGGCGCGGGCCCACGUUCAGCUCCACACUGACAAGGCAGCACAGAUAGCCAAAGAAAAAGAGGGUUCGCACAGCCAGCUGAAGGCGCUGAGGCAGCAAGCUGAGGAUGCCCGGAGAGAGCUGACGGAAAAUCUACAACGUUUGGCCCAGCGUGAAGAGGAGCUGCACCGCAAGGACGUGGCGCUCUCUGAAAGCUGCCAGCGCCAACUGGCCCAAGAGCAGGAAAUUCGGGAGGUGAAGGAGUCUUCUGCUGCCCUUCAGAUGGAAGUUCGGCGUCAGUCAGACAAACUGGCAAGACUGACGGAAGAGAAUCAGAGGCUCAUAGAACAAGUUGAAACGCAAGCCUGUCUCAGUCAGAGAGACCAGAAUAAGCAAACUGAGCUCCAGGUUACUGUGAAUCAAAUGACCUCAGCCCACACCCAACUAGCACACCGCCUGACUGAGGCCGAAGCUUCCAAGAAAGAGCUUCAGAAGGUCGCGGCAGAAUUGCGUGCCAAGCUGGCUCUGGUUCAGGAAGAGCCGGAUACGCUGAGGCACCAGCUGCAACUCGAGAGAGACGUUCAUCAGAAGGAGCUGGAGAACCUGAGGGCCACAACUGAAGAAGGCAGGACGAAGAGCAAGGAACUGCACAACAUGCUCCUAUUCUGCCAUCAGGAACGUGACGAAAUCCAGUCACAGCUAAACAAUGUUAAGGCAGGUGCAGUGUCAGACAAGAUGUUGUGCGAGGCGCUGCGUAUCAAGUUGGACAGGAUGAAGGAUGAGUGUGAUAAGCUAGCUGCGCAGCUGAGCUCAAAAGAAGAUUCACAUGCACUCCUCUUCAAAAAAUACCAGCUUCUUCAACUGGAACUGGAUGAAGUCAGGUCAGAUGAACGAGGACAUGUUCAAUUGGAAGAGAAGGUAGCACAGAUGGAAGUAGAACAUGGGACACUUCUUUCCUCCAUCAGUGAUGAACUUGAUGCCGCUCUCCAAGGCCUGCCAGAUAAUGGUGACGACAGGUUUCAGGCAACUAGGAAAGCUGGAUUAGUAAGAGACCCCUCCCUUUGGCUAGCAGAGAUAAAGGCCAAGCUACGCUUGCUGCGUGAGGAGGUGCGGGAGCAUGACACCAGAGAACAGCGCCUGAGGAGGCAGCACAAGCAUACCAGGGACGAGCUAAACGCACUCAGGCAGACGCGGAGCACAGACCAGGAUGCUCUCCUUCAGCGCCUGGAUGAACAAGAAAAGCUGCUACUCUCCAUCAGCACUGAAAAAAAAGAACUCUUAGAGGGGAAUCGCAAGAAGGAUGAAGAAAUGAGAAACCUUCAGGAUCGGGUUUCGGAUCUAGAGAUGAAAUCAAGAGCAGCAAUGGACUACUUGAAGUCAAUUCCAGAUCAACUGUAUCUGAUAGACAAUUUCAAAGACUUAGAGGAGUCACAACGGCAGAAGGAAGUGGUCGAGCAGUGCUACUCCAAACACAAAGAAAUUGUCUGGGACCUGCAGCACCAGCUUGAUGAGUCGCAACGCAAAAUCCACGAGUACAGGGACGAGAAGUUAGAUGCCACCUCCAGGAGUAUGAGACUAGCUGUUCUGGCUUCUUCCGUCAAGAGCCCCCACACAUUUCUUGGGAGCUCUGUGCGAUCCAAUACACUGUCGCCGCACAAACACCUGACCACUUCCGACCUGGACGACUCUGCAGUCAAUGCAGCCAAGUUUCUCACAGAUUCUUCACACCUCAACCACAAACACGUAUGAGCGGUGUCGUUUCCACAUGUGAUCGCUUUGGAGAAGCAGUCAAGAUGACCUCCUGGCACUAUUGGUCGCAGCUGGGUGAAAAGCGGAUUACACCCACUACUCAUCACCAGGAGCUUUUCCACUUUAAAUAUCCUGCUGGUGACCUGGAGUACAGCCUCUCUGAAAGCGCAGGGCUUCCAUGACAUCAUUGUCGGGACAUGAUGAUGACUUAAAGACAUAUGGAUCAAGUAUUGUUCCCACCUCAGUGAUGGCGCGAAUGUGAGUCUGACUGGUUGAGACCGGCUGGCCAUGGCAUCCACAGGGGUUAUUCUGCUUUUCGCUCGAAGUCAGCUCGAGCAAGCUCCAGCUCACCAGUGAUCCUGAACUGGCAGAGCAGGGACUGACUUAUGGUCUGUGUCGGUACCCCCGGGGGAACAAAGCUGCCGCCGCUGCCACCGAGAUCCCAUUGGAAUUCCUACUGGAUCCACUCGCAUUGUCAAGCAGGGGCCGACUACUUUUGUAGCAGAUGUAACAGAACGUAUACCCAUCCACACGCAAGUUUCGCCAAUGCUUCCCAUUUUCGCGGCAGACAGCUGUGGAAAGCAACAAUGUCCAAAUACUUUGUUACAGGAUUUAAGGAGAUUGUCAGAUAUCUGCACUUGAGUAUUUCUUUUUCUAACUACUGUAAUUUAGGGCCUUUACAGAGCGCACCUGAUUAUAACCCUCACCCAGUACAUUUUUAAAGGAAAUACCAUUUGAUGAAAAGCCGCAAGUCCCACAUUGAAACCCAGGUUGAAACAAGAUAUUUACAAAGAAAGACGGUACACAGAAAGAGUUGUCAAAGUUUUAAUACCUUAGCUUAACAUAGCAACAACACAGUAGCACGAACUGGGCUGGUUAAAAAAAAAAAAAAAACAGCCGCAGCAGCUACGCAGUAACAACACGGUAGGACAACACUAACAGGGCCGGUUAAAAAAAAAAACACACCUAAAUCACUGAGACGCGGCAGUAACACAGCAGCAAUGUGCUAACGCUAGCGUGGCGCUAAUGCUAGCGUGGCGCUAAUGCUAACGCGGUGCUAACAGGGCCCGUUAAAAAAAAAAAACAUACUGGCAAAAAUCACUGAGACCCGGCAGUAACACAGCAGCAACAGGCUAGCGCAGGGCUAACAGGGCCGGUAAAAAAAAACAUACCGGUAAAAGUCACUUCCUUGGCACAUAUAUUCCACCGGUGUCACUCUUACCUUUUCCGCUCGAGUGCCCCCUUGCGGCCGUCAGAAAAAUGCACAACUUAGCUGCAUCACCACAUAAGCCGCAGGGUUGAAAGCGCGUGGAAGGUUUCGUCUUAUAGGCCGGAAAUUAUGGUAUUCUUUACUUUUUCUACAUUUGGUAAUGGUUUUUUUUGUGCCUGACUAUAAAGUUCGUUUUUACUUUUGUACUUAACUAUAUUUCUGAGUAUCCAUCCAUCUAUUUUCACCACACAAUUACGUGUGUGUUCACAGUCCUUCAGCUCGGAGUGCGAGUACUUUUUACUUUUUAUGAUAUAAAAGUGCACUCGGUCCUAUGCCCAUAUCGAGACGCUCCAGAUCUUCUGGAAGGGGGGGUAUACUGAUUUUUCCAAAUGCUCAUUGAUUAUCCACUCCAAAUUAAGAAAAUAAUCAGGUGAAAGAAAAUGUUUAAGUAUGUUAAGAUGUAAAUGUAACACAGGCAAAAACAUUCUCCAUUACUACUACAAUCAAAAACAAAUCUUCUUUCUGACCUCAUCAGGGUAUCUGAAAGUCCCUCAGCAGGCGUGGGUGCAAUAUGAUAGAACACAAUGUUCCAGAAUGCUUCGACUGGAAUCGGAAAAGACAGAAUCAGGGUUCUGAGUCAAAGGAGCAGAAGACGAGCCAAGGUUACAACGGACAAGGUCGGGGGUCGUCAGUACUCCGAUGGAUCAAACAUGCGCGUGUGCGCGCACACAAACCUCGGACAGUUACUUGGGGUCGUGUCCACGUUUUUUCACACUUUCUAAAUUCCCAAGCCGGAACUC